rnacentral:rRNA from 1 species
AUUGAACGCUGGCGGCAGGCCUAACACAUGCAAGUCGAACGGUAACAGGAAGCAGCUUGCUGCUUCGCUGACGAGUGGCGGACGGGUGAGUAAUGUCUGGGAAGCUGCCUGAUGGAGGGGGAUAACUACUGGAAACGGUAGCUAAUACCGCAUAAUGUCGCAAGACCAAAGAGGGGGACCUUCGGGCCUCUUGCCAUCGGAUGUGCCCAGAUGGUAUUAGCUUGUUGGUGGGGUAACGGCUCACCAAGGCGACGAUCCCUAGCUGGUCUGAGAGGAUGACCACCCACACUGGGACUGGGACACGGUCCAGACUCCUGCGAGAGGCAGCAGUGGGGAAUAUUGCACAGUGGGCGCAAGCCUGAUGCAGCCAUGCCGCGUGUAUGAAGAAGGCCUUCGGGUUGUAAAGUACUUUCAGCGGGGAGGAAGGGAGUAAAGUUAAUACCUUGGCUCAUUGACGUUACCCGCAGAAGAAGCACCGGCUAACUCCGUG